CCUACGGGUGGCAGCAGUGGGGGAUAUUGCACAAUGGGGGCAACCCUGAUGCAGCGACGCCGCGUGGGUGAAGAAGCGCCUCGGCGCGUAAAGCCCUGUCAGCAGGGAAGAAAAUGACGGUACCUGUAGCAGAAGCCCCGGCUAACUACGUGCCAGCAGCCGCGGUAAUACGUCGGGGGCAAGCGUUAUCCGGAUUUACUGGGUGUACAGGGGGCGCAAACGGGGAUGCAAGCCAGGAGUGAAAGCCCGGGGCCCAACCCCGGGACUGCUGUUGGAACUGCGUGGCUGGAGUGCAGGAGGGGCAGGCGGAAUGCCUGGUGUAGCGGUGAAAUGCGUAGAGAUCAGGAGGAACACCGGUGGCGAAGGCGGCCUGCUGGACUGCAACUGACGUUGAGGCGCGAAAGCGUGGGGAGCAAACAGGAUUAGAUACCCUUGUAGUC
rnacentral:rRNA from 1 species